rnacentral:lncRNA from 1 species
GGGGGGUCGCCCUAUUCCAGGGCUUCUAGAGAAAAAUAAUGAGGGUGUCACGGGGUAUGACUAUAUAGGUCUUGUAGAAGAGAAACAGGCGCUUCUUUUGCGCAAGGUAUCGAAGGGCGCUAUGUUCAAAAAUCUGAAACUAGAGCUCAAAAUUUGAAAAAAAUGGUAAAAAAACAGGGGGGUCGGCCUAUUCCAGGGGCUUCUAGAGAAAAAAUAAUGAGGGGUGUCACGGGGUAUGACUAUAUAGGUCUUGUAGAAGAGAAACAGGCGCUUCUUUUGCGCAAGGUAUCGAAGGGCGCUAUGUUCAAAAAUCUGAAACUAGAGCUCAAAAAUUUGAAAAAAAUGGUAAAAAAAGGGGGUCGGCCUAUUCCAGGGCUUCUAGAGAAAAAUAAUGAGGGGUGUCACGGGGUAUGACUAUAUAGGUCUUGUAGAAGAGAAACAGGCGCUUCUUUUGCGCAAGGUAUCGAAGGGCGCUAUGUUCAAAAAUCUGAAACUAGAGCUCAAAAUUUGAAAAAAAUGGUAAAAAACAGGGGGUCGGCCUAUUCCAGGGCUUCUAGAGAAAAAUAAUGAGGGGUGUCACGGGGUAUGACUAUAUAGGUCUUGUAGAAGAAGAAACAGGCGCUUCUUUUGCGCAAGGUAUCGAAGGGCGCUAUGUUCAAAAAUCUGAAACUAGAGCCCAAAAUUUGAAAAAAAAUGGUAAAAAAAUAGGGGGCAGCCCUAUUCCAGGGCUUCUAGAGAAAAAUAAUGAGGGGUGUCACGGGGUAUGACUAUAUAGGUCUUGUAGAAGGAGAAACAGGCGCUUCUUUUGCGCAAGGUAUCAAAGGGCGCUAUGUUCAAAAAUCUGAAACUAGAGCUCAAAAUUUGAAAAAAAUGGUAAAAAACAGGGGGGUCGGCCUAUUCCAGGGCUUCUAGAGAAAAAUAAUGAGGGGUGUCACGGGGUAUGAUGACUAUAUAGGUCUUGUAGAAAAGAAACAGGCGCUUCUUUUGCGCAAGGUAUCAAAGGGCGCUAUGUUCAAAAAUCUGAAACUAGAGCUCAAAAUUUGAAAAAAAAAAUGGUAAAAAACAGGGGGUCGGCCUAUUCCAGGGCUUCUAGAGAAAAAUAAUGAGGGGUGUCACGGGGUAUGACUAUAUAGGUCUUGUAGAAGAGAAACAGGCGCUUCUUUUGCGCAAGGUAUCGAAAGGGCGCUAUGUUCAAAAAUCUGAAACUAGAGCUCAAAAUUUGAAAAAAAUGGUAAAAAAUAGGGGGGUCGGCCUAUUCCAGGGCUUCUAGAGAAAAAUAAUGAGGGUUGUCACGGGGUAUGACUAUAUAGGUCUUGUAGAAGAGAAACAGGCGCUUCU